ACGUGACCAGCCGUACGUCAGCGUCUUAAUGGACAGGUGCUGCUCUUACGGGUGCUGCUCACCGGGCUAGGUGGGAGACGCCGUCUGUCGCUGCCACAGAUGUGUUUUGAUCGUGGAUCAAAACCUCCAACUGAUCACACGGUUUGACAAGUUGGAACUGCUUUUUGCUGGUGUCUGCACAUAAAAGAUCUCGGGGCUCUUCUCUGCAUUACCGCGAGUGAAAAGCGAGAGAGAGGCUAAAGAGUGAUCCCAUUCCUCAGGAGCUUGCCGUGUGAAGACCCACGCAAAAACUUUUUUUAUACGUGUGUGCACUUUCCCACUUUCAGAGUGUGCGGCUGUGGAUCAGAAGCCGCCAUGCUUGGCUUCCUCCUCAGCUUUCCGUGCACAUUGAUCAGAGCAGAGCAGUCUUGCUAACAGAGCUUCGUCCACAUGUUGAAGCUAACAAGGAAAAUGGAGACGCCAAGUGUGUGAACCUGCAUCGGCUGGACCUGCGCUGCAAAUUAUAGGAAUUAUAAAGAGCUCUUGUGAAAAGCUGCUGUUGCUUUGCAACGUGAAUCAUCCUAGACCGAGUGCAAAGGCAGAACAUCUAAACAUGACGAGUUAACUGAAGUAUCACACUCAGCUGGGCAACAUAUGGUGGCCAGUGGCCACAGACGCUGUCUGUAUGUUUUAGUUUAAAGUACCAUUUAAAAAAACAAACAAAAAAAAAUAAAAUUUGGCAUGUCGGCA